CCCUGAUUAAUAGUAUUUUAUCAGUUAAUCUAGCCCAGCGGCCACCUAGCUCAUGCUAUAUGCUUCAUAAACAUCACUUGGUAAAGGAAUGGACAUUCCAAGGGAUGUGCCACUGAGGUUAUACUUUGGUCAGAAAGACUUGGGUCUGGACCUUGGCUCUGUGGCUUCCUAGCUGUGUGGCCUCAAGUGAAUUUCUUCACUCCCCUGAGCCUCAGUUCCCUCUUAAGUAACAAAUACCAACACUGCAGGACUGUUGUUCAGAUUAUAGAUAUUUGUGAAAUGCGUGGAUCACAGUAAAUGAUUCAUAUGACUUUAGUGAAGAGGUAGGAAGGAUUUCAUAGCCAUUUUCCCAUUUGAUUCUCACUAUACCACUACGAAUAUCACUAUCUCUAGUUUUUGUGCUUUUUGUUUUAUUUUGUUUUGUUUUUUUAGAGUCUGAUCUCCUGGGAUCAAAUCCAAGCCAUACCACAUUAGUAAGUUAAUCACACACAACCUGUUUCCUGAGAACAAGGAUACCUACAUUUUACAGCCUAGGCUUUUUGUUUUUUUUUGUCUUUUUGCUAUUUUGUCUUUUUGCUAUUUUUUUGCUAUUCUUGGGCUGCUCGAGUGCGGCAUAUGGAGGUUCCCAGGCUAGGGGUCGAAUUGGAGCUGUAGCCACUGGCCUACGCUACAGCCACAGCAACUCGGGAUCCAAGCCGCGUCUGCAACCUACACUAAAGCUCACGGCAACACCUGGAUAACCCACUGAGCAAGGACAAGGGCAGGGACCGAACCUGCAACCUCAUGGUUCCUAGUCAGAUUCGUUAACCACUGCGCCACGACAGGAACUCCCUGUUUUUGUUUUUUUUAAAGCAAAGAAAGACCAGGGAUGAAAAACAACAUGCUCAAGGCCACACACGGAGCUGGAGGUAGAGUCAGAAUUUGAAUCCAGGCCUUGGUCUCCCAGUUCAGUGCUGGUUUUACCAUACCAAGUGAGGAAGAAGCGUGACCUCAACACCUCUUCCCUCCUCUAAGUCGGCUGGGAAAGAAAACAUAAAACAAAGUGGGCCCUCCCAGCAGAGGCCACCUGCCCCACCCUCUUCUGCAACAGAACUUUUUGAGCUUUUCCAAGAAAAGGUUUUGGCCCAGCUACCUGCCUCGCUGCCCAGCAGGAGCCUUGAGAAUGUCCUUCUGGAGUCCUUCUGGAGACCAGGGCUGGGGAGAACUCAUGCUUGGCGGGAAGUGCCAGGAUGGGAAUGCGGCACAAGGCACUAGAGUUCUCUCCUGGACCUGUGCCCACCUAGGCACCCCCUUCCCUCACCCUGGGCUUCCUUCUCCUGCCAGGCUGAAGCCCUCAGUGAGUGAGCCUUUCUCUGAACUAUCAUAGUACCUGGCACAUAGUAGAUGCCCUUUAAACCUUGUCGAACAGAAGAAUGAGUGGGUUCAUUUGCAUAAACAUUCCUUCCACAAAUACCAAAUGUCCCUUCUGUGCCUCCCCCGCGUUGGGUGGGGGACCAAGAGACAAGCCAGCCAAGCCUCACAAACUGUGUGACCCUCAUCUUAGUGUUCACCAUCUCUGGUGCAUUUGCUAGGAGUCUGACCCAACACUCAGAGCUCAGAGGACCCUUGGAAACCCACUCCUUUCAACUGUCACAUUGUACAGAUGGGGAGACCAAGGUUCAGAGAAACAGCAUUCUGGUACACAAAGGAGCCUGGAUCAGGGGUCAGGACAGCUCAGUUAGAAGGUCUGCCCUUCCAGUGACUUGCUGGGGACCUGGAUCUCUCUCUGGACCUGUCCCCCGGGGCUGUAACAUGGGGUAAGAAACUAAGUGCCCUCGGCCCCGAGGGCUGUUUGAGUGUAGAGCUCCAUCUCCAAGAAGGCCUUUCUCCAGGGAACGGGGAGCUUUCUUGGUGAAACCUUCAUUUUCAAAAUCUCCUGCUGAGGAUUCUCAAACCCCGCCUCCUCUCCUGGCUGCCGGGUGUUACCAUGGAGACCACAAGCCCCUAGCAGCUCCCUGCUGCUCCUCCCCCCUCCCCCUUCCCCCUCUCUCCGCUCCUUCUCCGGUGGCUGCAGAUCUCCCCCAGGGCUGAUACAUUCCCCCACUUUCCCAGGACAUGAAUUAUUCUCCGCAUGUAAAAUGGGGGGCAAGCUGCGGCCCAGAGAAGGCAGGGUUUUGCCCCAAGUUACCGACCAACAGCCUCUUCGCCCGUGGAAUCAUAAACACAGCUUUCCUCUGCGAGCGAGCACACCCCUCCCUCCCCGCGACCAUCCUUCUGGGUGGCCUUAUGUGCUCCUACCCAGGGAGGUUUACCUCCUCUUUUCUCUUCUUUCUGCAUUUUUGGUAGUUUAACUUUUUAUUCUAAGAAGAUCAGAACAUGUUCUGACUAAACCUAGAGUGACGUGAAGUUCAGUCUUUACAUUAGCGACUUUAAAUCUAUUCCUGGAUAUGUUGUUUAAGUCCUUUGUUCACUGAAAAUAGUGCUGGAUGAUAAAACCUGCCAAAAAGCUAUCGCAGAAUGUACCAGCCCUGAUUAUGCUGAUGCAACAAGGAUAAUCACAUUUGAGAGCAAUGCAGCAUGCCAGAAUGCAUUAAGAAAAAUGGUACGUGACCGUGCAGAAUUUACACAACAAACCUCCAAAAAUUUGGACACAUUAUACCAAUAGUUAAAAGUGUUUCUACAACUCUUGAAGACAAGGGUAUCAAAACUUUGGCAUAUGAAAAAUAGAAUUUAUUCUGCAAAGCUGGGUUCCAGUCCCAACUGGCUCGGUUUGAUCUUCUGCACAUGACUUAACUUGAAGGUAGAAUACCACCCACUGCAGGGUGAUGGCUGCCCUGAUGGGAAAGGACUUUGGAAGUUGUGAUAUGUUCAACAGAUGUUAUUUAUUGUUAUUAAAAGGAGGUUGGAGAAGGAGCGCCUAAAUUUUCUCCAAGGGUCUCCAAUUGUCAAACAAUUAGGUUCCAAAAUUUUCUACGACUAACAUAUGUGAGGCUAAACGUCUAUGAUUCUAGAAUCCUGAGCUUGACACUAAUCCUAGAAUCCUGUGGUUCUGACCUCUGAUUCCAUAAAAGUGUGAAGUCAAGGUCUGAAGGCCAAGAAGGGAUGGAGACCCAGGUCGGCAAGAUGUUCUUAGGCCCCCAGGGCAGCGUGGCUGUCCCUGCUGUCCGCCUUCUGGGCCCACCCCAUGCAGCCUUAGCCUAAUUCCAUUAGACCGGUCUUCAGUUCCUCACCCUUCCUCCAGCCAGCUUUUGUUGGGGCCUCGAUGCUUGUAUGAUCCAUAUUCAUCACGUUAUUUUCUCCCAUGAGGCCCAAUUAAGCCAUUUAGCCAACACUAAAUGACUCCACCUCCCCACCCUCACCCUGUACCCCAAAGACCUUUACUCCCUCACCCCUGAGAUCAGCACAGUGGCUCAAGGUGCAUUCCUUUCUGUAGGUUCUGGUACGUGGUGUUCCCCUCACUGCUGGCCUCGGAUGCAGCUGACAACUCACCCCAGGUCGCUCAUGUACCAGGUAUCAAUGGAUUCAGAUGGGGCUGCUUCACAGGAUACAGCAGCGCAUGGACAUGGGACUUCACGUGUGUAGACACCACCAGAGCACCAGUCCUGGGCACACGAGUUCCAGGUCUCUACUGUUUACAGGGUCACAGUGAAGUAGUACCUUCCUCUCUAUUUAAAAAGAGUACUCUGGUCCUGUGGGCCUCAUGGGGGUGUUUUAGGCUUUUGAACCAGUGUAUCAACGACAAACUGUUCAACAAUAAUACGUGAGGGAAAGUGAUACAUAAAUACAUUGUAUCACUAAGACAUUCAUAGUCAGUCCCAUACCAGCACCACUGCUGUGUGACCUCAGGCAGGUUAUUUUACUUCCCUGAACCUUAGUUUCUGUGUGUGUGUGUGUGUGUAUGUGUGUGUGUAGUUUUUUUGAGUGUUUACCAUAUCCUGGGCACUGUAUCUGCCAUGUUACAAGACUUACUCCACCCCAGUUAAGAUUCUCUGCUGCAAACAACUGAAACCAUCUCCGGCAAAACUAGGCAAAUAUGAGCUUUAUCCAAAGGCUACGGGAUGGCUCACUGAAAUGACAGGGAGACUGGGCAGCUGGACAGGAGCCAGAGGAAGCUGGGCACAGCCAGAGUUCUGCCAUAGGAACUGUUUAGGACAGACUCCCCACCAAUGCGGGGCUCUUGUCCCCACUGCAGUCUCCUUCUGAAGUCAUCUCUGGCGGUCCUCACCUCCUCUAACUCCCAUCAGGCCAGGCUCCCACCAGCUUGGCCCAGCCCAGACUCACAUGCAGCAGGGGAAGGGCAGCUGCCCCCUUCAGCUUCCAUGUCGCUUGGAAUUCCUCCCAACUGGCAAAAUGUUGGGAUGCUGAGCAGCCAAAAGUAGUCAUGUCCACUAGAGCCUUCGGCCAUCUUGGGUCAGGUAAUAAUACACUUUACAGAUGAAAGACUGAGUCUCUGAAGGGUUUAUUUACUGCCCACCCAGCUAAUAGGUGGGUACACUAACACCCACCGCACAGGAAUUUAAGACACAAAUGGAUGGGGGUAGUCAGCAAGGAUUAAUUCCCUUUCCUUUUUGGCAAUAGCUCAGCUAUGAGGAAGGCUUUUAAAAUCUUGUUCCUAUUCCCUAUGACUCUGGAGCUGACCCCUCACUUUCCGGUUACAUGCAUAAUUGGAAUUUAUUCCAAGAGACUGACUGCUAUGCAGACAGAUCAUCAUCACAGGCUCCUCGUCACAACGACCACCAUCACCAUUUAUCGUGAUGCUUUUAGCUCAUUAGAGCCUCACGAAAGCCUGUGAAAUAGGCCUUAUCUCAGUUGAAUGAGAGUAACGUCAAAUGAGAAAACGGGACUCAGACAGGCCUGGUGAUUGUCCCAAGCUCACAGAGCAAAUCAGAGCCUGAAUCAUGUCUAGGUCUCCUGCCUUCAUAGUCUGAUUUCAAAGAAGCAGGCUGAGGAGUUCCCGUUGUGGCGCAGUGGAAACAAAUUCAACUAGUAACCAUGAGGUUUUGGGUUCGAUCCUUGGCCUUGCUCAGUGGGUUAAGGAUCUGGCAUUGCCAUGAGCUGUGGUGUAGGUCGCAGACACAGCUCAGAUCCCGAGUUGCUGUGGCUGUGGCUGUGGCAUAGGCCAGCAGCUACAGCUCCGAUUUGAUCCCUAACUUGGGAACUUCCAUAUGCCACGUGUGUGGCCCUAAAAAGCAAAAGCCAAAAAAAAAAAAAAAAA
ensembl:lncRNA